rnacentral:tRNA from 2 species
GAAAAUUUAGUUAAAAUAUAACAAUUACUUGUCAAGUAAUAAUUAAAUAAUUUUAAUUUUCA